GCACUGCUGAUGUGUCUCAGAAUAGGACGAAACGGCCGUCCAAUGC
rfam:Schistosoma curassoni strain Dakar, Senegal genome assembly, scaffold: SCTD_contig0002496